AGUUUGAUCCUGGCUCAGGAUGAACGCUAGCGGCAGGCUUAACACAUGCAAGUCGAGGGGCAUCGGGAGGGAAGCUUGCUUUCCUUGCCGGCGACCGGCGCACGGGUGAGUAACACGUAUGCAACCUGCCCUCUUCAGGGGGACAACCUUCCGAAAGGGAGGCUAAUCCCGCGUAUAUCGGUUUCGGGCAUCCGAGAUCGAGGAAAGAUUCAUCGGAAGAGGAUGGGCAUGCGGCGCAUUAGCUAGACGGCGGGGUAACGGCCCACCGUGGCGACGAUGCGUAGGGGUUCUGAGAGGAAGGUCCCCCACACUGGUACUGAGACACGGACCAGACUCCUACGGGAGGCAGCAGUGAGGAAUAUUGGUCAAUGGGAGAGAUCCUGAACCAGCCAAGCCGCGUGAGGGAAGACGGCCCUAUGGGUUGUAAACCUCUUUUGUCGGAGAACAAAACCCGGGACGAGUCCCGGACUGCGUGUAUCCGAAGAAAAAGCAUCGGCUAACUCCGUGCCAGCAGCCGCGGUAAUACGGAGGAUGCGAGCGUUAUCCGGAUUUAUUGGGUUUAAAGGGUGCGUAGGCGGUCCGUUAAGUCAGCGGUAAAAUUGCGGGGCUCAACCCCGUCGAGCCGUUGAAACUGGCAGACUUGAGUUGGCGAGAAGUACGCGGAAUGCGCGGUGUAGCGGUGAAAUGCAUAGAUAUCGCGCAGAACUCCGAUUGCGAAGGCAGCGUACCGGCGCCACACUGACGCUGAGGCACGAAAGCGUGGGGAUCGAACAGGAUUAGAUACCCUGGUAGUCCACGCAGUAAACGAUGAAUGCUGGUUGUCCGGGUCGAAUGAGACCUGGGCGGCGAAGCGAAAGCGAUAAGCAUUCCACCUGGGGAGUACGCCGGCAACGGUGAAACUCAAAGGAAUUGACGGGGGCCCGCACAAGCGGAGGAACAUGUGGUUUAAUUCGAUGAUACGCGAGGAACCUUACCCGGCCUUGACAUCCUCCCGAAUGUAGAGUAAUGUCUGCAGCCUUUCGGGGCGGGAGAGACAGGUGGUGCAUGGUUGUCGUCAGCUCGUGUCGUGAGAUGUUGGGUUAAGUCCCGCAACGAGCGCAACCCCUGCCGUCAGUAGCCAGCAGGUAAAGCUGGGCACUCUGAUGGGACAGCCUGGGAUAACCAGGAGGAAGGCGGGGACGACGUCAAAUCAUCAUGCCCCUUAUGGCCGGGGCUACACACGUGCUACAAUGGCGUAAACAGAGGGAAGCGAGCCAGCGAUGUUAAGCAAAGCCCAAAAAUAACGCCUCAGUUCGGAUUGCAGCCUGCAACUCGGCUGCAUGAAGCCGGAAUCGCUAGUAAUCGCGAAUCAGAAUGUCGCGGUGAAUACGUUCCCGGGUCUUGCACACACCGCCCGUCAAG
rnacentral:rRNA from 1 species